CCCACCCGGAAGGAGGCCGCUGUGCCCAGGGGACGCCCAGCCACAGACCCCCGGGCCCUGAUGGCUCACAUUUGUCUCCUCCCGAGAUGAGCCUGGGGGGCCACCGGGCAGGGAGAGGACCUGCCCGCGGCUGGGGAUGGCAGCCACCGCAAGGAGGGAGAGUCAGCCCGUCACCCCCUGCCCAUCCAGGAGGACUCAGCAGCCCCCAGGGCCCGGGCAGCCCACACUUCUCACAGGCCUGCAGCCCCUUUCCCUCUCCCCGCUGUGUCUCUGAGAGUUUGUCAAGUGAUGUCCCCUGGCAGGGGGUGGGGGCAGAACACUGAAAUGGGAACAAGGAUCCCAUCAAAGACAAGCCCUACCAUCCUGCCCUAAAGCCAGUGCCCAGCUCUUCCUGCCCCUGGAGCCACUGGAGGGGCCUUCGAUUCCAUGAGGACCGAAGCCUGAGCUCUCCCUCGCCUUCCACCCUGAAACCCAGUCUCCUGGAGCUGUGGGAGCAGAGAUUACACACAGGGGUCAUUCAAGACCUGCCUCCGCUGCUUACAAGUUCAGGACCUUGGAAUAUCUCUUGGAAGAGAGAACACUUUUAACAGGAACCCAAGAAAUCUCCCGCAGUUGUAGAGACCCUCGGUGCCACCUGGAUCCGGAAUCCAAAGGAGUCCCACGUUCACGACUGUCACCGCACAUGGCAGCCACCAGCCCUCGCAGGAGGGUGCCCGAGGUCCUGAUCCCGGCGUCACCAGCUCACUCUGUGAUCUUCGCCAAGCCCCUCAAUCCUUCUGCUCUGCCAUAUGCAAACCAAAGGCUCCCCGUGUCACCCUGGCUUCUCCAUGGCAGAGAAGCAGAAUCCAGAGAGGACGCGGGGUUGGCACUGAGGACCAUAGGACCGUUCUUCCCGACAGUGUGUUAUAGAUUUCUUUAGAAAUGCCACCCUCAGCAGCACGUGACUAAGGACCUGGCCGGUUAUCACCAUGUAAUCACCCUGUCCCAUGUGUCCAGGAGUUUCCUCAUUGGAGUCCUGAGGGUGCUGUGUCCCCGCACAGUCAGGACCGUCGGUCACCCUGUCUGCACUCCCCCUUGGGUGAGAAAGUGAGCAAAUCCUGGCUGGUGGUGUGUCCUCUGUUUUCCCCAAACAGACUGGGAGUGGCUCCUCCGCCGGCUGGGGGUGGGGGGUGGAGAGAAAAGACCCCUUUUAGUUUAAGAGAGAAGAGGACAGAGGCAACUUCAAGAUGGCAAAGAGGAGCUCCCUGCCUGGCUCAGCGGAAACCAAUCUGAGUAGGAUCCAUGAGGAUGCGGGUUCGAUCCCUGGCCUCCCUCAGUGGGUUAAGUCCGGCGUUGCUGUGAGCUGUGGCGUAGGUCGCAGACAUGGCUCAGAUCUGGCGUUGCCGUGGCUGUGGUGUAGGCUGGCUGCUACAGCUCUGAUUGGACCCCUAGCCUGGGAACCUCCACAUGCCGCGGGUGCAGACCUAAAAAGACACACACACACACAAAGAUGUCAAAGAGCCUGCCUCUUGCAACUUCAAGCUGACUUGGGUUGGGAUUUCUGGCCCGACCCAGAGCCCCUAGAUUCUUGGCUGGGGCCCGCUCUUGGCUCCUGUCUUGCUGGGUUUCCACGUGGGGCUGCGUGGCAGGGAGGGCAGGUGCGGAGCUGCUCUGGUAAAGGCCUCCUCGUGGUCACAUAAAGGUGUUUAGCUCCUCUUCAGGCACGCUGCUCACGCAGGUGUUCCCUGGCAGGACACCGGGCAUGUGCCCGCACACGUGCUCUCCUUGUCGGCACCUUCACUUGCCACCUCGACGCUGGGCCCACACACUCACCAACGGUAACCAGAGCUUAGGCUUAGGCAAAACACCCACUCGAGCUGUGUACAUAGUCACGCACACACGUGGAUGGAUGCACGGAAGAGGGACCGGGAAGUGGCACAUGGGCAGACAGAAGAUUUCCGGAGCCACCGUGGCAUGAGUGUGCUCAGGGGGUGGCAGUGGCCAUGCACACAGCACACACACACCUCCUCCAGCUGCCUGAGCUCGUCUUCAGCCAGGACUCCAGCCUGGCAGCAGUUUGGGGGCAGGCCCCGAACUUCAAGAGAUGUCCCCCCGUCUCCCUGUCAGGCAGGAGCCUCUGGGUGGCCAGACCUGUGUGGGUACCAGAGCCUUCUGGGACAGCUCCCCGUGAGACCGGGCAGGCCCGGGCGUGCUGCGCAAGAGAGCAGGCGUGCGGGGGGUGGCUCUUACACAAUCCGCAUCCGGGCUCGGCCGGGCGGGAGAGUUGAAAGGCCCCUGGCAGCUCCCCAGGCCCUGGUGCCCGGGCAGGGAAACCACAGCCUGAAACUCCUGGGUUUCUGAAGGCGGGAUUUUUUUGGAGGCCUGCUCCACUCAGGCUGCCUCUCCAACUCUGUCAUUCCUGUGAGGCCAGCGGGCUGCCAAGCAUGUUGGGCACCGAAUCAUAGGCUUCCAGAAACUCAGCUAGGCUGGUGCCCUCAUUUCCCACCGAAUAUGGGAAGAAUUUGCUGAAGACAUUGUUCUUUUGUCCAGAGUCCCGCAAACACUGUGAAACCCACCCACUUAGCUACAGAUGGCAGCGGGAAAACGGGGUCCCAAGGACACUAACAGGUUUCCUGGGUGUGCCAGACUCUACUUUAAACAGUUUCUGAAUAUUAACUUGUUCAGUUCCUACCAUAGCCUUGGGAAGUAGGUACGAUUUUUGGCAUCUCCAUUCUUUAGAGGUGGGGAAGUAACUGCCUGAUUUCACACAACUAGCACGUAGCAGGGCUGGGCGUUGAACCCAGGCUGCUUCACUCACAUUUAUAUUCUUUUGGGUCUUUGGGGAAUCAAAAUGAUGAGAUGCCCCGUUGGGAAUACAUUGGAAAUAGCUUAGGCGCAAAGGCUGCGAAUUUAAGUGCCUAUAGGGCCAGGCAAGUGAAAUACACAUGUGUCUGAGGCCAGCUGGCAGAGGCUGGUUGUCCCCCUGGAGGGUGUGUAGGCAACCCAGAGGUGUCCCUCAUGCACCUUUUUUAAAGAUAAAACUUGCCUGGAGGCCAUUUGAGUCCCCUGGCUUAGAGCGUCUCUAACCUAAGCCCAGUGCACCUCGGGCUGUAAAUAGAGCUGGGGCAGGAAAUGUGGGCUACCAGGGCAUACCAGUUUGUCUUGAGGGGUUUGAAAGGCCACAAAAGCAGUACGGGGCAGAGAUGCAUCAGUAAGUGAAAGUGAUAGGGAAUGGAACAAACAACCUGUUCAGAAACAGCAAAAGAGGUGAGGGGUUGCCUGUUACUGGAGGCAUGGGGCUCUUGAGAGCCUAAAUAACACCGCCACUCUUGAGCUGUCACAUACCACACUCCUGUGGCAAGAUGGAGGUCCGAGGCCACUCCUGACCCAUGGCUCACAGAACAACGCAGAUUCCUCCAUUCUAGGGUUUUAGCCCCAACUUGGUCGUGGAAUCACGUGGUUACUGCAAGUCCCUCGCUACAUAUGGAUACAUAUAUAUCCCUUGGUUUGCUGUCUUGACUUGAUAAAAGGAGAGUGAUAGGACAUUAGAGGUUUAACC
rnacentral:lncRNA from 1 species